CCCCCCCCCCCCCCCCCCCCCCCCCCCCCCCCCCCCCCCCCCCCCCCCCCCCCCCCCUGCUGCGGACACCGGCCGCAACCGGCCGAGCCCUUUCCGUCCGCCCCUGGGCAGCAGCCCGCGUGCGUGCGUGCGUGCGUAUAACACGCUCUUGAGCUGCACGGGUGAGGCGCGCCCCGAGACGUGUUGGCGUUGAGUUUUGUGGGGAGUAUGUUUUCCUUGCGUUAGCGGUAGUACGGUAAAGGUCGUCAUCGCGGUGGCAGCCCCCAGUUGGCUCUGCAGAUGUCAGGGCUUGGGAGCGCUCCGGGAGAGCCGGGACACAGGGCAGGGCGGCGCGGACCCGCAGUGAGUCGAUUGGAGGCGAUGAAGGCGCCGUGUUUGCCCAGCGCAGUCCCUCAGCGGGGAGGCGGUUCCGUCAGGGAAUGCGGCGGGGGAAUGUCAAGCGUGCCGGCCGUGAGAUCUGAGAGGCGCAAACAGCAUCGCCUUGGCUCCAAACGUCGUCGUCUCCUUUUCGUUUCCACCAGCCCCCACCGCCGACUGGAACAGGAGCUCGUUUUGGUAGUCAGGCGAUUGAAAAGCUCUGAGGAGACCGCAUUUUCCAUUAAAAGUGGGUGGGAAAUUGAAUAAAACUUUCCAGACUCACUGAUUUUUAAAGGAAGAUUGGCAGAAACCUGAGAUGGUUUAGAAUUUUCACGUGUUGGAGGAGGGGGGGUGUGUGUGCUUUUAAGCUUCUAAACAGCAGCACUAUUUGGAAAUUUCACGGGUAGAGAAUUUUUUUACAUCUAGGUAUAGAGCUGUGCUUUUGGGAGGGCGGGUCUUUGAGGUUUUUUGGUGUUUGUUUUUUUUUGCUUUUGUGUUUGUUUUUCUGGUUCGGGGCUUUGGUUGUUGUUUUGUUUGGUUGGGGUUUUUUGCCUUUUCUGCUGCCAGUUGCUCAUAGCAAGAAAGUGACAGAUGCUUGUUAACCAAGUAGCUCAAACUGCAGACAGGGCCAGAAUUAUUUUCCACGCAAUUGUUGUUUUGUUUCGGUUUCGGGGUUUUUUUUGUAUAUACUAUAAGUUAGGGGGAUUUUCCUUUGGGAUCAUGAAACCUAGCUUCUGUGUAAGAAAUUAGUUUAAACUGAUGCUUGUGUUUCUGGCUAUGGACUUCACAAAAUAGUUACUCUUGACAUGCCAGUUUCAUAAAUUCAUCUAUAGCUUGCUGGAAUAUUAACUGUCUUGUUUCUCAUUUUAGGUAUGUUUCAUAAAUGUUCUGCUGGAUUUAUAGAAUUAACUCAAACAGAAUUUUGGAAGUGUUAGGGAGCCUGAAUGCUGCAACCAGAGAUGAGCUUGUAGUACUUUCUUUUACUAUAAAUAUGGUUUCCAUCUCAGCAUUCCUGAUAUUAAAUAUAAGUUAUUAAAUAUGUAGAUGGUAGGGGAAAAAAUAACUUCAUGUGUAUGAGAGGAGGGGAAGAUUAUUUUUCACUCCAUCACUUAUUAGUAAGUAAUGAUCGUUCACGUGUCAAAGCAAUUUUUCUUGUCUGUUCUCCCUCUCUUUCUGCUUUACAUAAGCAUCUAACAAGUCAGUAAAAAUACUCUUCCAAAUUGGGUAGUGGCUGUUCUUUACCAGGUCUUAGCCACCUGCUGCAAUAAAAAUAACACUAAUGCCUCUGGAAGAAUUCUUCACAUCAUAGUUGAGAAACUUUACAAUAAAAACCAGGAAGAGUGAGAAAAAUGACAACGAACAAUAAGACAUCCAUAAUAAGAAGAUUAGGCUAUGUGUCAGUUAUCUCAACUUUGUCUUUCUUCUUGCUUUACAGAUCUGGGCAGAAUUUUUAAAAUUCACUAAAGAAGUCCCAGAGAAAAGCAGGUGCAAUAGCUCAUAGAUCCACCUUUUUCAUCUGUCUGCCAUUCCUCAGGAGUAGCUACUUCCCACUGAAGCUGUGUUUAUUAACAGAUACACAGGAUGCUGGUGAAUUUUUUUAGUUUCUGGGCUGUGGAGUAGACAAGGAAGCAAGAGGCAUCUUUGCUCUUGUGUUCAAAUAUGCUCCACUUUAGAUCCAGCUGCACUGGUGUAGCACAUGAACAACUUACAAAUUUUCACCUGAGGCUGAACUUUUGUCCUGCCAGGUUUGCCCCCUGAGUUCCCUCCAUUUUCUGAAACCAAGUGGGAAGAUGUGUUAACUCCAGAGAAGAAAUUAGAGUGUGUUAAAGCCAUAUCUAAACUAUUUUAAUUGCUAGUUCGUUUUUCUUGCAGUGGAUGUUCUUGAGGAAAGACCUCACGGGGCUGAGUGUUUCUUUCGUCUGUUUCUGUUUCACUGUUUUGGGAAGUUUCUAUUCCAGAGCUGCACAGAGAGGAAGGAAUUGCUGCAAAACAGCAAGCUUAACUUGGCUAACUUCCUGCAUGUAAUCAAAGGCUAUUCUGUGAGCUGCUUGGAAAAACACCCUUGGCCACCACGCAGUGAAAUUCCUUCCUAAUAGUCUUUUCAGAGCGUUAGGCCAGUUGCAGUCAGUUUUGCUCAUUACAGUAAAGUAUACAAGGCUUGAGCAUUCUACCAGUUGUGCUAAUUUAAAAGAAGGGUCGCGUACAGCUGCACAGUUGUCUUUGUGUGAAACACACAAAGGUCUAAAUGUAGAAAAAUGAUGGCAGAUGACAUAAUGCUGGCCAGAAUAAGUCACCCCAGUGGUUAAAUCUUGUCGGGAAAGAUGAGACUUGGCAUUCCUGCAUUGAAUCUGAACAAGGGUCUGAAUUCAUGAACUGCAUAAAAUAUUUCUAAACUCUCAGAGGGUAGGGGGUCAAAGACAGGGAAGGAGACUUGGGAAUGGAGGCUGGAGGGUUCUUGGAGCUAAAGCUAUAAUGAAAAAAAAAGCAUGAAAAAUUGAGGAGACAGGACUAAAAUAAUCAAAACAAGAAACAAUGAUAGGCCUAAUGAAACAGCUGGAUUUUCAAUGCUAAACCAAAUCUUUUUUAACCUGUCUCUGUAUGCCUUUUUAGAUAACUAGGGGUUUCAUUUCUUGGAAGAAAGCUAUAGGUUUUACAGAUACCAAAUGUGUUCUAACACCAUGUGAAAGCUUGAAAAACACUGCUGUGUGUAAAGGCAGUGAAUAUCACUGUACUUUGCAGCUUGGUUUCACUUUGGUGAAACUGGAAAUUCAAAUGCAGAAAAAGCAGCCAGAAGUGAUGAGUGCUGAUGAAACUACCAUCUUAAGAUUGGUUGGUGAAGAAAAUAGUGUAGUUGGUCACUGUCACCAGUUUUACAAUGUUUUCAUAAAAGUGUUUCUUUCAUUAUGUUCAAAAGCUAUUUUUAAUUCAAGGCCUAAAAAAAGAACUUUUGCCUUUUACUAGCCUUUUAAAUGAAAUACUGUAGGAUAAAUAUUGCCAGCUUUAUAGAAUUUCUCUGUUAAAGUGGAAAUAAAUUGGCAGCACUGAAUAAGCCCUUUCAAAGUGCAGCUUUUUAUUUUGAUUAAAUUCUGUGCUGAUUCUAAAACUGGAAUCAGAGACUAGAAUCUGAAAGGAAAAUUUACUUAAAAUACUAAGGAUACUUUACCAGUAUUCUAUAAUAAUUAACAGAAACAAACAUCUAAAGCUGAGCUAAAUCCUCUUGACAUUCAUUUCUGUGUCCUCUGCCUUUCUGUGGCUUGAUACUUGAUGUAUGAAGUCAUUCUCAGAUGGACUGAAGGGAAAGGCAUUGUUUGUGUUGUAGUCCCAGAGCUGUGUGAAUUAAUGCUGCUCUGUAUUUCCUCAAGGAAUGAGCACAUUCAGUUUACAUUUUUUGAGAAUAGACCCUGGGAAUGAAUUAUUUCCUCGUUAUAAGGAGCCUUGUGUUGGGAUAUCUGUUUGGACAGUUUAGCUCACUGUAAGUUACUAGGGAUAAAAGCAUCACUGUUACAAGUAAAAUGAUAAUGUGCAAGUAACUCUUAAAAUUAAAUUUCUUGCAGUCAUUUAGAUGGUUCAGAAUUUUGAAAUCUUAGAGGAAGAAGAGUGUCUCACCUUUCUUCAGACUUCACAUUUGCAAAAAGUCAAAAGAAGAAAGUCUUGUCUCUGAGAGAACUCCAGAUUUAAUGUCUCUCUGAGUUGCAAAAUUUAUGAAUACUCAGAGUAAAAGCAGUAUAUUCACCUUACA
rnacentral:lncRNA from 12 species